UCUAGAACUCGAUAUAUGGGCUAAACACUGAACAGUGUCUGGGCCGCAAGACAAAUUCCGACUUCUCUAUUGUUGCUAUAAUUGAAACUUGAAAACGGUCCUUUUGAAUCCUGGACUCAUCAUUAACAUUUUAGGCAUAUGUCUUAACUUUCUAUC
rfam:Populus trichocarpa scaffold_19_contig_247, whole genome shotgun sequence.